GGCAAAGAGGCUUGUGAUGAUUUUCCUUCCUACCACAUAACGUAGUAAGAACAGAAAACACUACCGAAUUUAUCUGAACAAAGAGAAGUUAAGAUUCACUCCCUGCUUAGUAUAUAGGCACACAUCAAAAUGGAAAAGUGCUAUAAUCAAGCCAGCUGGGAAACCGGAAACCCUGUUUUGAAUGUUUCCUAAAAUCACUGUCAUGAGGUGAUAAGAACUUUUUCUCACCUUUUGUCUGAAGAAUUGCAAAAAAUGAUUUUUGAUCCUUCUCUGGGAAUAUUCAGCACCCAAACUCUGGGAGCAGCAUCCUGAGAAUGAUCCAUUCUUCAAAACAGAAUGAAGAUGUAUGUGUUGGAAGAAUGUUAAAGAAAAGAAGUCACCAAAAGUGCUUCAUCCAAAACCCAGUGAGAGAACUCUUCAGUGCCCUGAAAGAAAGAGAAGCAUUUCCAAGAAAAAGGAAAACUUGAAAAUCUGCACUUUCAGCAACUAGUGAUGGUUAUUCCUCAGUUUCUAAGUUCACAAGCAGAGAGUUCAAAGGAAAACUUGGAAGGAAAUUCAAAUGAAGAGGGGCCCAAAUUUCAGGUUGUUGGUACUUUCUGCCUUUUAAACUCCUCUUUCAAAGUGUCUGCAGUCAUACAUCUGAAUCACUGGUCAUUUUAGAACUCUCAGGCUCAUUCUUUUCUUUUUUCCUCAUCUUUUUCUCUUUUCCUCCCCUCUUUUCUAUUAAGGUCAAAGCCUGCUUCUCUCGAUGCCAAUAAUAAAACUCCCAUUGAUUUCAACAUGAGCAGGAAAUAUGCUGUUUGCUAUUUACCACAACCACCACAAAGAAUCUCUGGGAAGAAUUCAUUUAUAUUCAUUCCAGUGAUGCCAUGAAAAUGGGCUCUUGCUAUUUUAUCACAUCCAAACUGUUGCUCUAACUCUGAUGUCCUAGCUGUUGCUAACAAGUCAGUGAUGAUUUGUAAACCAACAAUUUAUGGUAACCACAUUCCAUCCCUAUUAUGAUGUGUGGUUUGGAAAUGGAAAAGUAAUCAAGACCUCCUGUUAAGAGACUUUAUUUCAGUUGAAUGUUUCUGUAAAUAAAAGCAUUUUGAAAGGA